rnacentral:rRNA from 1 species
GAGCGGCGGACGGGUGAGUAACGCGUACGAAACCUACCUUUAAGAGAGGGAUAGCCCUGGGAAACUGGGAGUAAUACCUCAUAGUAUUCAUUGACCGCAUGGUUGAUGGAUUAAAGCUGCGGCGCUUAAAGAUGGUCGUGCGUCUGAUUAGCUAGUUGGUAGGGUAACGGCCUACCAAGGCUACGAUCAGUAGGGGGCGUGAGAGCGUGGCCCCCCACACGGGUACUGAGACACGGACCCGACUCCUACGGGAGGCAGCAGUAAGGAAUAUUGGGCAAUGGACGCAAGUCUGACCCAGCCAUCCCGCGUGCAGGACGAAUGCCCUAUGGGUUGUAAACUGCUUUUGUUUGGGAAGAAAUGUAUUCUUUUAAGAGUAUUUGACGGUACCAGACGAAUAAGCACCGGCUAACUCCGUGCCAGCAGCCGCGGUAAUACGGAGGGUGCAAGCGUUAUCCGGAAUCACUGGGUUUAAAGGGUGCGUAGGCGGCCAUAUAAGUCAGAGGUGAAAGUUUCCGGCUCAACCGGGAGAUUGCCUUUGAUACUGUUUGGCUUGAAUCAGAUUGAGGUUGGCGGAAUGUGACAUGUAGUGGUGAAAUGUAUAGAUAUGUCAUAGAAUAUUGACUGUGAAGGUAGCUGGCUGGAUCUGUAUUGACGCUGAGGCACGAAAGCGUGGGGAGUAAAUAGGAUUAGAUAUCCUGGUAGUCCACGUCUUAAACGAUGUUUACUCGACAUGGGAUCUAUGGAUUCUGUGUCCAAGCGAAAGCGUUAAGUAAACCACCUGGGGAGUACGUUCGUAAGAAUGAAACUCAAAGGAAUUGACGGGGGUCCGCACAAGUGGUGGAGCAUGUGGUUUAAUUCGAUAUGUGAGGAAUUUUACCUGGGCUAGAAUGUGAGUGCCUGUGUGUGAAAGUAUAUAUUUUUUUGGGAUAUAAAGUAAGGUGCUGUAUGGCUGUCGUCAGCUCGUGUUGUGAGGUGUUGGGUUAAGUUUUGUAACGAGCGUAAUCCCUAUCUUCAGUUGUUAGUAUUUAAGGUGGGGAUUUUGAAGAGAUUGUUGGUGUAAGUUGUGAGGAAGGUGGGGAUGAUGUUAAGUCAUUAUGGUUUUUAUGCCCAGGGUUAUACACGUGCUACAAUGGCCGGUAUAAUGGGUUGUGAAGCUGUGAAGCGGAGUUAAUUCUAUAAAGCCGGUCUCAGUUCGGAUUGGAGUCUGGAAUUUGACUCCAU